CUACGGGUUGCAGCAGUAGGGAAUAUUGCACAAUGGGCGAAAGCCUGAUGCAGCAACGCCGCGUGCGCGAUGAAGGCCUUCGGGUUGUAAAGCGCUUUUCUGAGGGAAGAGGAAGGACUGUACCUCAGGAAUAAGUCUCGGCUAACUACGUGCCAGCAGCCGCGGUAACACGUAGGAGGCAAGCGUUAUCCGGAUUUACUGGGCGUAAAGCGCGUGUAGGCGGUUUGGCAAGUCGGAUGUGAAAGCUCCUGGCUCAACUGGGAGAGGUCGUUCGAAACUGCCAGACUAGAGGACGGUAGAGGAAGAUGGAAUUCCCGGUGUAGUAGUGAAAUGCAUAGAUAUCGGGAGGAACACCAGUGGCGAAGGCGGUCUUCUGGGCCGUUCCUGACGCUGAGACGCGAAAGCAUGGGUAGCGAACGGGAUUAGAUACCCCGGUAGUC
rnacentral:rRNA from 1 species